rnacentral:rRNA from 1 species
UGACGUUGGCGGCACGCUUUAACUGCAGUCUAGCGGAAACGAUACUUCGGGCAGGCGUCCUAGCGGCGGACGGGUGAGUAACGCGUAGGAAUCUACCCAGUAGCGGGGGAUAGCCCGGGGAAACUCGGAUUAAUACCGCAUACGCCCUAUGGGGGAAAGAUGGCCUCUUCUUGAAAGCUAUCGCUAUUGGAGGAGCCUGCGUUGGAUUAGCUAGUUGGUGGGGUAAAGGCCUACCAAGGCGACGAUCCAUAGCUGGUCUGAGAGGACGAUCAGCCACACUGGGACUGAGACACGGCCCAGACUCCUACGGGAGGCAGCAGUCGGGAAUAUUGGACAAUGGGCGCAAGCCUGAUCCAGCCAUGCCGCGUGUGUGAAGAAGGCCUUAGGGUUGUAAAGCACUUUCAGGAGUGAAGAAAGGCGUUGGGUGAAUAAUCUGACGUUUUGACGUUAGCUCCAGAAGAAGCACCGGCUAACUCCGUGCCAGCAGCCGCGGUAAUACAGAGGGUGCAAGCGUUAAUCGGAAUUACUGGGCGUAAAGCGUGCGUAGACGGUUCAUUUAAGUCAGAUGUGAAAUCCCCGGGCUCAACCUGGGAAUUGCAUUUGAGACUGAAUAGCUAGGGUGUGGAAGAGGGAAGCGGAAUUUCCGGUGUAACCGGUGAAAUGCGUAGAUAUCGGAAGGAACCAUCAGUGGCGAAAGACGGCUUU